UACGUAGGGGGCGAGCGUUGUCCGGAAUCAUUGGGCGUAAAGCGUGCGCAGGCGGCUUUGCAAGACAGAUGUGAAAUCCCCGGGCUCAACCUGGGAACUGCAUUUGUGACUGCAAGGCUAGAGUACGGUAGAGGGGGAUGGAAUUCCGCGUGUAGCAGUGAAAUGCGUAGAUAUGCGGAGGAACACCGAUGGCGAAGGCAAUCCCCUGGACCUGUACUGACGCUCAUGCACGAAAGCGUGGGGAGCAAACAGG
rnacentral:rRNA from 1 species